CCGGCUCCGCGGGCCUGCCCUCCGCGCGGGGCAUGCCGGGUGGGCGGCGCGGCCCCGCCCGCGCUGCGGCCGAGCGCGCCCGGAGCCGCCAUGAGCCGCGCCAAGUUCAUCGAUAUUGGUAUUAACCUUACAGAUCCUAUGUUCAGAGGAAUCUACAGGGGAACACAGAAACAUCAAGAUGACUUUCUGGAUGUAAUAGAAAGAGCAGUCAAAGUUGGCAUUAAAAAGUUUUUGAUUACAGGUGGAAGUCUAGAAGAUAGUAAAGAUGCAUUGCAGCUGGCACAGACAAAUGAUAUGUUUUUCAGUACAGUUGGCUGUCAUCCUACUCGCUGUGGAGAAUUUGAGCAGGGUAGCCCUGAACAGUAUUUAUCUGAAUUAAAAAAUCUGAUUGAAAAAAACAGGACAAAGGUAAUAGCAGUUGGAGAAUGUGGCUUAGAUUUCGAUAGAUUAGAAUUUUGCCCAAAGGACAUCCAACUCAAGUAUUUUGAAAAACAAUUUGACUUAUCAGAACAGAUGCAGCUGCCUAUGUUUCUGCACUGUAGAAACUCACAUGCUGAAUUUUUAGACAUAAUGAGAAGAAACAGAGAUAGAGUUGUAGGAGGGGUGGUACAUUCUUUUGAUGGCACAAAGGAACAAGCAGCAGCUCUAAUAGAUUUGGAUCUUUAUAUCGGAAUAAAUGGCUGUUCACUGAAAACAGAAGCCAACUUGGAAACACUGAAAUCAAUUCCUAGUGAACGAUUAAUGAUAGAGACUGAUGCACCUUGGUGUGGAGUGAAAAAUACUCAUGCUGGAUCAAAAUACAUUAAAACUACAUUUCCUACAAAAAAGAAAUGGGAAAAAGGGCACUGCUUGAAGGACAGAAAUGAACCCUGCCAUAUAAUGUAAUACUUAAAACUGAUCCAGCCUUGGGGAUCAGGGGACAGUCCCCCAGGUGGGACAGUGCUGAGGCACCAGCAGUGCCUGUGACAUGAACGGCCACAGCAUGCAUUUUGUCAGGGAUGUUUCUUCCUUCUGCUGUUAUACUUCAAACAAUCUGAUCCUGUGAAAUUCAGAUAUGAAUGACAGCAGCCAAGAUCCAGAGUAGUGAAAGAAAACUCCAGGGGCUUAUGAACAGAAUUGUCAAAUACUGGAAAUAAUGGCGGCAGUAAGAGAAGAUGACCCACUUGAGUUGGCCAAUACUCUAUAUAACAACACCAUUAAAGUCUUCUUUCCAAAUAUGUAAA